rnacentral:rRNA from 1 species
UGCAUUCAGUUGCCAUCGGUAAGGCCGGGCACUCUGGAUGGACUGCCGGCGACAAGCCGGAGGAAGGUGGGGACGACGUCAAGUCAUCAUGGCCCUUAUGUCCAGGGCGACACACGUGCUACAAUGGCCGGCACAACGGGAAGCGAAGGGGCGACCCUGAGCGGAUCCCCAUAAAAGCCGGUCCCAGUUCGGAUUGCAGUCUGCAACUCGACUGCAUGAAGUUGGAAUCGCUAGUAAUCGUGGAUCAGCCAAGCCGCGGUGAAUACGUUCCCGGGCCUU